CUGAAAGCAUCUAAGCGGGAAGCGAGCCUUGAGAUGAGUUCUCCCUGGCGCUUUAAGCGUCCUAAAGGGUUGUUCGAGACUAGAACGUUGAUAGGCAGGGUGUGUAAGCGUUGUGAGGCGUUGAGCUAACCUGUACUAAUCGCCCGUGAGGCUUAACCAU
rnacentral:ncRNA from 1 species